rnacentral:rRNA from 1 species
UACGUAGGGGGCUAGCGUUGUCCGGAAUCAUUGGGCGUAAAGAGCGUGUAGGCGGUCCGGUAAGUCCGCUGUGAAAGUCGGGGGCUCAACCCUCGAAUGCCGGUGGAUACUGUCGGGCUAGAGUGCGGAAGAGGCGAGUGGAAUUCCUGGUGUAGCGGUGAAAUGCGCAGAUAUCAGGAGGAACACCAAUGGCGAAGGCAGCUCGCCGGGACGGUACUGACGCUGAGACGCGAAAGCGUGGGGAGCAAACAGG